AUGGCCCCAAAAUGUCCCAAAAAUAUCCCCAAAUGUCCCCAGAUGUCCCCACCUGCCAUCCGUGUCCGGCUCCAGCCGCGGCCUCUUUGUCCCCGUCCCCGUCCCCGUCCCCUCCCCCGGACGCUUCCGAUGUCCCCAAAGUGUCCCCAAGUUGGCGGCGGUGGCACCCGGACGGAUGUCCCCAAGGUGGUGGCCUUGACCGAUGUCCCCAAGCCGAUGACCUCCAUCAAUGUCCCCAAAUUGGUGACUCUUCACGAUGUCCCCAAGGUGGUGGCCCUGAGUGAUGUCCCCAAGCCGAUGACCCCGAUCAAUGUCCCCAACUUGGUGACUCUUGGUGAUGUCCCCAAGUUGAUGGCCCCGAUCAAUGUCCCCAAGAUGGCGGCUCUUCAUGAUGUCCCCAAGGUGGUGGCCAUGCCUGAUGUCCCCAACUUGGUGGCCUCCAUCAAUGUCCCCAACUUGGUGGCUCUGCCCGAUGUCCCCAAGCCGGUGACGUCCAUCAAUGUCCCCAACUUGGUGACCUCGAUCAAUGUCCCCAAGCCGGUGGCUUUGACCAAUGUCCCCAUGGUGAUAACCUCGAUCAAUGUCCCCAACUUGGUGACACUUGAGGAUGUCCCCAACCCGGUGGCUCUUGGUGAUGUCCCCAACUUGAUGGCUUUGAUCAAUGUCCCCAAGAUGAUGACCUUGAUCAAUGUCCCCAAGGUGGUGACCUCCAUCAAUGUCCCCAAGCCGAUGAUGUUGAUCAAUGUCCCCAAUUUGGUGGCCCUUGAGGAUGUCCCCAACUUGAUGACUCUUGGUGAUGUCCCCAAGCCGAUGGCUUUGACCGAUGUCCUCAAGGUGGUGGCUCUUCAUGAUGUCCCCAAGCUGAUGACCUUGACCAAUGUCCCCAAGUUGAUGGCUCUUGGUGAUGUCCCCAAGCCGGUGGCUUUGACCAAUGUCCCCAUGGUGAUAACCUCGAUCAAUGUCCCCAACUUGGUGACCUCCAUCAAUGUCCCGAAGAUGGUGGCCUUGACCGAUGUCCCCAAGCCGAUGACCUCCAUCAAUGUCCCCAAGCCGAUGGCCCCGAUCAAUGUCCCCAACUUGGUGGCCUUGAUCAAUGUCCCCAAGCCGGUGGCUCUUCAUGAUGUCCCUGAAGUGGUGGCCUCCAUCAAUGUCCCCAACUUGGUGGCCUCCAUCAAUGUCCCAAAGAUGGUGGCCCUGACCGAUGUCCCCAACUUGGUGGCUCUUCACAAUGUCCCCAACCCGAUGACUUUGACCAAUGUCCCCAACGUGGUGGCUUUGAUCAAUGUCCCCAACUUGAUGACUCCUGAGGAUGUCCCCAAGGUGGUGGCCCUCCCUGAUGUCCCCAACCCGGUGGCUUUGACCGACGUCCCCACCCCGCCGUCCCCUCCAGGUGCCACCGCUGUCCCCGUCCCCGGUGCCACCGCGCAGGACGAACUCCACGAUGUCGGCCGGGAGCCCCUCGGCGCUCGGUGGCAUUGGUGACACCUCUGGUGGCACCUCUGGUGGCAUUGGUGGCACCUCUGGUGGCACCGUCCCCCUGGUGGCAUCAUCAGCACCGUCCACUUGGCAGAUUUGGGGACAAGGUGACAACGGUGACAAUGCCACCGCCGGUGCCACCACGGUGCGGGCGUAGCCGAAAUAACGUCCCCGUCCCCGUGGUGGCAUUGUCACCGCGGUGGUGGCACUGUCACCGUCGUCGUCGUCGCUGGUGUCACCUCGCGGGGAUCUGUGGGACAAUGAGGUGACAAUGAGGUGACACUGAGGUGACAAUGAGGUGACAAUAAAGUGACAAUUCGGUGACACUGAGGUGACAAUGAGGUGACACUGAGGUGACAAUGAGGUGACAAUAAGGUGACACUGAGGUGACAAU
ensembl:lncRNA